rnacentral:rRNA from 1 species
UACGUAGGGUGCAAGCGUUAAUCGGAAUUACUGGGCGUAAAGCGUGCGCAGGCGGUUGUGUAAGACAGAUGUGAAAUCCCCGGGCUCAACCUGGGAACUGCAUUUGUGACUGCACAGCUGGAGUGCGGCAGAGGGGGAUGGAAUUCCGCGUGUAGCAGUGAAAUCGUAGAUAUGCGGAGGAACACCGAUGGCGAAGGCAAUCCCCUGGGCCUGCACUGACGCUCAUGCACGAAAAGCGUGGGGGAGCAAACAGG